AGUAGAGAAAAGAAAAAUCAAAGAAGAAGUUAAAAUGGUCAAAGCUGUUCUUGUUAAGCACCUUGGAGAGCGAAAAAUUGUUAUUGCUAAUAAUAGCAGUAUUAAUGAUUUUUUGAAUAAUAUUUCCAAGAAGUUUGCUAGUACAAGUGGGAACAUUUGUGGAAUCACAUGGAAUGGAUGUAAUGUCGAUGAAGAUACUUUUGUUGCCAUUCUAAAUAAGCAAAAUCUGGAAGUUGAGGCCUUGUCUUUGCCAGUGUCUAAACUUUAUUCAAGCUCUUUUUGCCAAAGUUUAAAUGAUUUUUCUCCUGUUAAAAACCCUGUAUACACCGACCUUGAAAAUUUUCAUGCUUCUUCACCACACCAGUGUUUAUCUUUACCCGUGACAAAUCUAGAGAGCACAGCUGAUGUAACUGAACCAGUUUUUAUUCAAGAAGCUUUACCUCAAAAAUGUGCAUUUUCACAGUCUUCAUUGGCAGGCAUUUCCAGUCAACCAUCCUAUACUGCUUAAGUGGCUUUAACAUCUAAUCCACUAACAAAUGCAAUCCAAAAAGAUCUCAUUUUUAAAAAGUUGCCAAACAAUUAUCGACAACGACAGUAUACCAAGUGUCACAGCUUAAAGGUGAAAAGGCUUCCACAGGUUUCUGUUUCAAAUAACAAUAGGAAACUUAAACCUGUUGUGACUGAAUUGGUAGCUAAUCAAGAGCAGUUAUUAAAAGAUGUUGAAAAUGAAUUAAAAAAAAAAAAAGCCGUCACAGCCAACCUUGUCCAUUUUAAAUAGACAACUAUUUGAUAAUGAGACAUUUAGCAUGAUACCGAAGAGAAUUAGUUUUGCUCCUACACUAAUGCUGGAGGAAGCAAUUCGUUUUUAUGCCGAUUUCAAGGAUGCUAUAAUCAAGAUUCAAGCAAUGUUAUUUUGGAUUUCUCCAGAGUCUGGUAACCACACUGAAAAUUUGUUAAAGCUCCAACAGAAACUUAUUUCCAAGAAGACAUGUGACAAAUUGUUUAUGAAAGUGGAUUGUGACUCUAUUGGAGAAUACAUAAGAGUGCCAAGUUCGUAUGGUCCCCAAGUGAUUUUUAACCACAAGGAGUAUGGCAUAAGGAGUAGACAUGGUCUUGAGAUGGACACUCAGCCAUUAGUCAGCACCAGUGAGAUGGUGGUGAUUUUAGUUAUUGUGUAUUAUUUAUUGGACUUAUCAUAUCCAUCUUGUUUUGGGCAGCUGCUUGGUUUUUUUCAAGAGAUAUGUGAAUUUGAACAAUUUAUUUUUAAAUCAAAAAAGUGCACUGCACUGUUGAACUCUUUUCGGAAUAAUGUAAAGUUUAUUUGAAAUAUAUAUGCAUGAUCCUAAACUACACGA
rnacentral:misc_RNA from 1 species